CGUGUAGGCGGUCAGGUAAGUGGAAUGUGAAAUGCCCCGGCUCACCCGGGGACCGGCAUCCCAAACUGCCUGGCUUGAGUGUGGGAGAGGAUGGAGGAAUUCCUGGUGUAGCGGUGAAAUGCGUAGAUAUCAGGAGGAACACCGGUGGCGAAGGCGUCCAUCUGGCCCAAUACUGACGCUGAGGCGCGAAAGCUAGGGGAGCAAACGG
rnacentral:rRNA from 1 species